GAUGAACGCUGGCGGCGUGCCUAAUACAUGCCAGUCGAGCGAACAGACGAGGAGCUUGCUCCUCUGACGUUAGCGGCGGACGGGUGAGUAACACGUGGAUAACCUACCUAUAAGACUGGGAUAACUUCGGGAAACCGGAGCUAAUACCGGAUAAUAUAUUGAACCGCAUGGUUCAAUAGUGAAAGACGGUUUUGCUGUCACUUAUAGAUGGAUCCGCGCCGCAUUAGCUAGUUGGUAAGGUAACGGCUUACCAAGGCGACGAUGCGUAGCCGACCUGAGAGGGUGAUCGGCCACACUGGAACUGAGACACGGUCCAGACUCCUACGGGAGGCAGCAGUAGGGAAUCUUCCGCAAUGGGCGAAAGCCUGACGGAGCAACGCCGCGUGAGUGAUGAAGGUCUUCGGAUCGUAAAACUCUGUUAUUAGGGAAGAACAAAUGUGUAAGUAACUAUGCACGUCUUGACGGUACCUAAUCAGAAAGCCACGGCUAACUACGUA
rnacentral:rRNA from 1 species